rnacentral:rRNA from 1 species
UACGGGGGGAGCAAACGUUGUUCGGAAUCACUGGGCGUAAAGGGCGUGUAGGCGGCUGGAUAGUGGGAUGUUAAAUCCCCCGGCUCAACCGGGGACCUGCAUCUCAUACUGUUCAGCUCGAGCACAUCAGAGGAGACUGGAAUUCCCGGUGUAGCGGUGAAAUGCGUAGAUAUCGAGAGGAACACCAGUGGCGAAGGCGAGUCUCUGGACGACUCCUGACAACUGAGGCACGGAAAGCUAAGGGGAGGCAAACGG